GCGGCGUCAAAGGUGAAGCAGGACAUGCCUCCGCCGGGGGGCUAUGGGCCCAUCGACUACAAACGGAACUUGCCGCGUCGAGGACUGUCGGGCUACAGCAUGCUGGCCAUAGGGAUUGGAACCCUGAUCUACGGGCACUGGAGCAUAAUGAAGUGGAACCGUGAGCGCAGGCGCCUACAAAUCGAGGACUUCGAGGCUCGCAUCGCGCUGUUGCCACUGUUACAGGCAGAAACCGACCGGAGGUAGCACCGCAGGGGCCAAGGUUGGGAGGUCACUGGCCGGAAGGCCCCAGGCUGCAGGGCCUGACCUGCAUCCCCGAAGGUGGCCAGAAUGCACGUGGGGGCCAUCGCCCUGUGCCGUCAGCUGCAUCCUCAGGCGUGGAGACUUAGUGGAGACCCAAGGGGGCGAACCGGAAGGCUUCCUGGAGGAGGAGGCAGCACUGGGGUUGGGGCAAGAGAAAAGCUAGGAGUUGGCUGGGGGAAAAGGAGACAGGGUCGGAGGGAGGCUUGAAGGGGUGCUACUAGGGGCCCUAGGCAGGGGCCCCUCAGGGCACUGAGGCCCCACCCCCACCAUCGGCCCCAUCCCCACAGGACCUUGCAGAUGCUUCGGGAGAACCUGGAGGAGGAGGCCAUCAUCAUGAAGGACGUGCCCGACUGGAAGGUGGGGGAGUCUGUGUUCCACACAACCCGCUGGGUGCCCCCCUUGAUCGGGGAGCUGUACGGGCUGCGCACCACAGAGGAGGCUCUCCAUGCCAGCCACGGCUUCAUGUGGUACACGUAGGCCCUGUGCCCUCCGGCCACCUGGAUCCCUGCCCCUCCCCACUGGGACGGAAUAAAUGCUCUGCAGACC
rnacentral:lncRNA from 1 species